rnacentral:rRNA from 1 species
GAAUUUGCCCUUUAGAGUUUGAUCCUGGGUUCAGGACGAAACGCUGGCGGCCUUGCUUAACACAAGCAAGUCGAACGGGAAGUUAAGAUUUCGGUUUUUACUUUAGUGGCGAACGGGUGAGUAACGCGUGAGGAACAUGCCUUUCAGUGGGGGACAACAGUUGGAAACGACUGCUAAUACCGCAUGAUACUUUUGGGUGGCAUCACCUAAAAGUCAAAGCUUUAUGUGCUGAAAGAUGGCCUCGCGUCUGAUUAGCUAGUUGGUGGGGUAACGGCCCACCAAGGCGACGAUCAGUAGCCGGUCUGAGAGGAUGAACGGCCACAUUGGGACUGAGAUACGGCCCAGACUCCUACGGGAGGCAGCAGUGGGGAAUAUUGGGCAAUGGGCGAAAGCCUGACCCAGCAACGCCGCGUGAAGGAAGAAGGCCCUCGGGUUGUAAACUUCUUUUACCAGGGACGAAGGACGUGACGGUACCUGGAGAAAAAGCAACGGCUAACUACGUGCCAGCAGCCGCGGUAAUACGUAGGUUGCAAGCGUUGUCCGGAUUUACUGGGUGUAAAGGGCGUGUAGGCGGAGAUGCAAGUUGGGAGUGAAAUCCAUGGGCUCAACCCAUGAACUGCUUUCAAAACUGUAUCCCUUGAGUAUCGGAGAGGCAAGCGGAAUUCCUAGUGUAGCGGUGAAAUGCGUAGAUAUUAGGAGGAACACCAGUGGCGAAGGCGGCUUGCUGGACGACAACUGACGCUGAGGCGCGAAAGCGUGGGGAGCAAACAGGAUUAGAUACCCUGGUAGUCCACGCUGUAAACGAUGAAUACUAGGUGUGGGGGGACUGACCCCCUCCGUGCCGCAGUUAACACAA